UACGAAGGGGGCUAGCGUUGCUCGGAAUCACUGGGCGUAAAGCGCGCGCAGGCGGUCUUCCAAGUCAGUGGUGAAAACCCGGAGCUCAACUCCGGAAUUGCCAUUGAAACUGUGAGACUGGAGUACGAGAGAGGUGAGUGGAAUUCCCAGUGUAGAGGUGAAAUUCGUAGAUAUUGGGAAGAACACCGGUGGCGAAGGCGGCUCACUGGCUCGUAACUGACGCUCAGGCGCGACAGCGUGGGGAUCAAACAGG
rnacentral:rRNA from 1 species